rnacentral:rRNA from 1 species
UACGUAGGGUGCAAGCGUUGUCCGGAAUCAUUGGGCGUAAAGAGCGUGUAGGCGGCCAGGUAGGUCUGCUGUGAAAACUCGAGGCUCAACCUCGAGACGUCGGCGGAAACCAUCUGGCUAGAGUCCGGAAGAGGAGAGUGGAAUUCCUGGUGUAGCGGUGAAAUGCGCAGAUAUCAGGAAGAACACCCGUGGCGAAGGCGGCUCUCUGGGACGGUACUGACGCUGAGACGCGAAAGCGUGGGGAGCGAACAGG